CUCAAUAAAAUUUGAAAUUACCUAGUAAAUUGCACACUUGUUUGGGUAACCCUCACUCGAAGACUUAUUUUAAAGGCGACUGCUUUAUUUACUGAGAAAUAAUAUUUAUCCAUAAACUUUUUCCAAUCAAGAAAAUGUUGGAUGGUUAUAAAGUGGGCAUAUGAUUUUUUUCCUUCACGUUUCCAGAUAAGAAGCAAAUUCAAUCUAGAGUUGGGGUUGGGAGUAGUCGCCAUCUUGACAAUCAGGACCAUGAUUUGGAAAGAUUAAUCUGAUGACAUUUUUAUUGUUGAAUGGGUUGAAGAUUGUACACAAAGAAAGCAGCUAAUACCAAAGUUCAACUGUGAAGUAAUUAUGUGCCAUUUCGCAAAAGAAUUAUUUUAUGAACAGAAAACUUUCAGGCUGAAGCCAGGGACAAUCUGGCCUAUAGUUUCUAAACUUCACUAGGCCAAAGGCUGCCAUGCAGAGAUGAUACAUCUCGGACCACUGGAUCUUCCAGGUUUCUCUUCCAGUCCAUGGGUGCCUUUCCUGAAAUAUCAUGUAUGCAGUAAGAACAAGUCGUAUGAAAUUGAGUUCACUUCCAUUUUUGAAAAUUCAACUAGUGAAAGAGCUGGAGAACUCCGUAACUACUGUGUUUCUUGACUUCAUGAGACGUGCUGUCUUUCACAAUCUUCAUGAAUCCUGACGAAGAAGUGUGGGCUGGACGCCAGUACAGCUGGGUGACUUCUCUUUGAGGUGAAUGGCCAGCCCCUGGGCUCAGGAUCCGCGCCCACCUGAGGGAGCUGUCAAGUGGCUUGUUACAGGGCUCAUCCUCAGCCCUGUGUUACUUAACCCAUUUUUCAAGUGCCUCCAUGGGGACCUAAAUAUCGCGGUUAUCAAAUUGGUCCAACUUAAAAUUAUAAAAGUUAUUGACAAUUAGCUCCAAAAAAUUCUCAGCAAAAUGAAAUAAUGAGCUAUAUCUUAAAAAGUAUUUAUAUCUGAAGUAAAUAAAGCCUUGCUUUCGUAUUUCUCUCCUGAAAGCUGAGGCGUCUCUAACUUUUUAGGUCUUCAUCUGUCAUAUUUGUCUCGUAGAUUUUCCCAGCGUAUUAUUUACCUUCAAAUUGUCUUUCUGGUUGUUUGUAGAGUCCUUUGAAGCAUCUCUCGUCUCCUCCAUGUUCCUAGGUAGAGGUGAAUCUAAGGAUCAGAGGGGAGUGAUUGGAACCAGACAUCAUUUAUCACCAGCCAGCAUGAGAACACGUUGUAACGUAACUCAGGGCCACAGAACCAGUGAAUACUGUGGUAGUGAUAUUAACCAGUUAUUCAUUCAGGAGAAAAUAAGGUCAGAGUAUUAGGCUAAACACUAACAAUCAGUAAUGCCUGAGGCUGCAAAAUUUGCAGUUCAUAAGAAAGGACUGAGAGCCUAGAAAUUUGAUUAUUAUAGUGAGGGUCCUAGGAAAAAGUGUGGGGGUAGGUCAAAAACACCAACAGGGAAGGGGUUAGAGGAAAUGCUAGAAAUAAAAGAAGGGAGAGGUAUUAAGAAAGGGAUGGUCCCUGUGCGACGAGGCCCAAGGCCUAAGCAGUGAGCCUCGGUCCUUGAGGGAGCAAGAGAGCAAGGAAGCUGUGGAGACACACAAAGC
rnacentral:lncRNA from 1 species